AACUAAGGAGCGAAAGCGAUGUGCUCCGAUGAAAGCUUUGCGGGUCUAACGCGGCCCUUUACUCAAUGAAUAGGAAAUAUGACCACACACAAUAAGAAUCCCCCCGAUCUGGGGCAUGAAGCAGUUGGCUCUCCAUGGGAAUUCUCCAUAGCAUGACUAGUUAAAGCAAUCAAAUUGAUUGAGACAAGCAAGCGGGUUCCCCAUGACGAAUCAAUUGUGUCGGGCGAAAGAAAAGGCCGGGGCAGGAAUGCGGUAGGCAGUGGUCCUAUGAAUGGGUUGACUAAGAUAAUAGAAAGUCAUCGUCUUUAGGUACACAUACCCUAUCUUGAAACAUCAAACAGUCGCCGGUACCAAUCCGAAAGUCCAAUUCAUUGUUCAUCUUGCCCUGAGUCAUUUUAGCUUGUAAAUCUUUAUCACCCUACUGGGCUUCACAAAUCUCUUGCAGGAACUUCAGUCUAGCUCUUAAUUUCGCCAAAACUGAACCAUCAUCAGCCAUAGACAAUUGAGCAUUCAUGGCCCCUAAGGCUAAUAAUGACUUUCUACUCAGAUCGUCGGCGACUACAUUCGUUUGUCCCGGGUGGUAGUCGAUUAUCAACUCAUAGUCUUUUAUCAACUCUAACCAUCACCGUUGCUGUAAGUUUAACUCUUUUGAGUCAUCAAAUACUUGAGACUUUUAUGGUCAGUGAACACUUUUUUACCAUACAAAUGGUGUCUCCAUAUUUUCAAUGCGAACACGAUAGUGGCCAACUCUAAAUUGUGCAUCGGGUAGUUUUUCUCAUGUGGCUUCAACUGUCUCGAGGCGUAGGCUACAACCUUACCUUCUUGCAUGAGCACGCACCCCAACCCAUUCAAGGAGGCGUCACUAUAUAUCACAAAUUCCUUCCUCGGUUUCGGUUGCACUAAAAUUGGGGCUUCAAUCAAUAAAGCCUUUAAUGUCUCAAAAAUCUAUCGGCACUUAUCUGUCCAUUCGAACUUGACCUCUUUCUGUAGCAAUCUCAUCAUCGGAGUAGCUAUCAUAGAGAAUCCUUUAACGAAUUGUCAGUAGUACCCCACUAAGCCUAGGAGCUUCUAAUCUCCGAUACAUUCCUCAGCAGUUUCCACUCAACAAUAGCCGAGAUCUUACUCGGAUCAACUCCAAUUCCAUCACCCGAUACAAUGUGUCCUAGGAAUCUGACCUCUCAGAGCCAAAACUCACUUUUACUAAACUUGACAUACAAUUGCUUAUCCCUUAAAGUCUGUAAAAUAGUUCUCAAAUGCUUCGCAUGCUCUCUUUCAUCACAAGAAUAAAUUAAUAUGUCGUCCAUAAAGACCAUAACGAACUUAUCUAAAUACAGUCCAAAAAUGCGGUUCAUUAAGUCCAUGAACACCACAGGGGCUUUUUUAAACCAAAAGGCAUGACAAGAAGCUCAUAAUGACCAUACCUUGUCUGAAAAACAGUUUUUGGCACAUCUUGCUCAUUUACUCUAAGCUGGUAAUAACCAGACCUCACGUCAAUCUUUGAAAACACAGUGGCUCCUUUCAAUUGGUCAAAUAGAUCGUUGAUUCUUGGCAAAGGAUACUUGUUCUUCAUAGUCACAUUGUUGAGCUAUCUGUAGUCUAUAAAUAACCUCAUCGACCCGUCUUUCUUUUUCAUAAAAAGUACUGGAGCACCCCACGGAGAAUAUCUCGGUCACGCAAAACCCUUAUCUGUCAACUCUUGCAGAUGCACUUUCAACUUUUUUAACCCCAUUAGAGCCAUCUUGUAUGGAGCAAUCAAGAUAGGUGCCGCAUCAAGGACUAAUACAAAACUCAACUUCCCUAGUUGGGGGCAAUCCGGGUAAUUUUUCUAGAAACACAUCCGGGGUACUCACAUACUACUGGUACUGACUUGAUCUUCUCUUCAUAUACUUGAAUAUUCAACACAAAAGCGAGAUAAGCUUUGCACCCUUUUCUCAAAUAUCUUUUCGUAGUCAAAGAUGAUAUUACUAUAGGCAAGCUAUCCGCUUCACCUGAUUCAACCCGAAGAAUAUCCCCGCUUUCACAUUUCAACUCAAUGACAUUUUGUCCACAAUCCACUACGACACCAUGAGAAGUCAACCUGUCCAUACCGAGGAUUACAUUGAAUUCAUCAAAUGAAAAUAACAUAAGGUUAGCUGGAAAGCAAUGACCUCUAAUUGUUAAGGGACAGUUUCUGCAUACUUGGUCUACUAACAGAUGUUUGCCUAACAGGUUAGACACUUUUACUACAAUUUUAGUGGACUCGACUAGCAUGUUCAUACUGGGUAUCAAUUUCAUACAAAUAUAGGAAUGGUAGACCCCGGAUCAAUCAAAGCAACAAUAGGUGUAUCAUGGAUAGAAAAGGUACCCGUAAUCACAUCAGGAGAUGCAGCCUCUUCACGGGCACGAAUGGCGUAAGUCCUUGCAUGCGUACUACCCUCGGACCUCACAGUGGCAUCUCUAGGCACACCUCUACUACUAGCCCUACUUUUUGGGUUCUUAUGUGAUCUACCCCUCGAAAAAGCGUUACCCGAUCUUACACAUUUAUCCUUAUCUUUCUCGACCAUCUCGAGACAGCAACAAAUAAAAUGGUCCAGCAAUCCACAUUUGAAACAGCCUCUUUCAUUACCUCGACACUUACUAAAAUAAUGUCUACCGCACUGUGAACAUUCUGGUCUAUUUGGUAGAGUACUACCAACACUCACGAUAGAAGUGGUUUGAGUUUUAGACACUACAUGCUGCUUGUUCUUGUUUCUGCUUGAGAAUCCUACUGACGCAUUCAAUCGAGCAGGAAACUCUCUCGAUCUUUUGGAUGAGGUCUGGUGUGAUUUCCCCAUCUAUCUUUUCUUUGAGUCACGAGACUCGAUGUUAGCGCUUCUCUUCUCUUUGGCCAAUUCUUCGGCCUUGCAAGCUCUCUCAACAAGUACCAUAAACUCUCUCAACUCUAAGAUGCCAACUAAUAGAUAGAUGUCUUUGUUCAGACCAUCUUCAAACCUCUUGCACAUGGUGGCCUCUAUAGAUACGCACUCCUGCGCAUAUUUGUUGAGUCUUACAAACUCGCACUCGUACUCCGUCACUGUCAUAUGACCUUGCUUCAGUUCAAGGAAUUCUUUCCUCUUUUGAUCAAUAAACCUUUAGCUAAUAUACUUUUUACAGAACUCUUCUUGGAAGAAUUCCCAAGUUACUCUCUCUCUACCACUGACACGAGAGUAUUCCACCAUUGGAGGCCGAGUCUCGUAGGAGUGACACUACAAACUUUAUGCACUCCUCCGGCAUGCACGAUAGCUCAUCAAACACUCUGAUGGUAUUUUCUAACCAGGACUCUGCUCUCUCCGGUUCAUCAUCAACACUAGCCCAAAAUUACUUAACCCCAUGCUUUCAGAUUCUAUCCACUAGAGGUUUCUCUCUCUUAACCAUUUCUACUCUAUGAGAAGCUAUAGGGGCAAGCUGUGGGAUCGGAGGAGGUAGAGGAGAUGGAGUGUUUGGAUUCGCAUGAAUGAACUCUGAGUAUUAAGCAUCCAUCAUACACAGGUAGGCUUCUCUUGCCCCUUCGCCCUGAUUCAUAGUCACAUGCUCACUUUCAGCUGGCGCGGUCCCUUCAACGGGAGCCGGCUCAUUACUUUCCACAUCAUCCGCCAUAGCUCCGUCGAGAUCCAUUUACUAUAUAAAAACAUGAUUUAUAUUCGUUAACAGUCGUUACACUAUCAAUAUUCAACUAUGGCAUGUAUAGCUAGACUCGUACUCAUGCUAAGUUAGUCCUAGAAUCAACUAAACCAUAGCUGUGAUACCACCAAAUGUAACACCCUUACCCGAGUCUGAGGCCGGGACUAAGUACGAGGCAUUACGAAACUUAAACACAUACAUUCCAACAUUUACAAAUCAUAAAAAAACUUGAUUAAAUUUAAAAAUUUUCAAACUUUGUCUAGAAUUCCUUAUUACGAGCCUACAAGGCCUAAAACAAACUUUAAGGAUGAUUUAGAACCAAACUAGGUCUUUUAAAAAACUCCAAAAAUUGACUCUUGAAACAGGGGCACAUGCCUCUGUGGAAGGGGUGACACACCCGUGUGGCCUUCUUGACAUGGCCAUGUUAAAGGGCCGUGUAGUUCACAUAACCUAAACACAUCGGGAUACGCCCGUGUCCCUAACUCGUAUGGAAUUAAUUCCUAAUUAAAACCUACAGGGGUUUUCAAACGGCCAGGCACACGCCCGUUUCCAUGGUCUAUGUCCCUUACACGACCAUGACACGCUCGUGUCUCAGCCCAUGUCCAAAAACCUUGACAUUCUGUUUUUGACAUUAGCAACUAUUUAGGGGCAUACGGCCAAGGCACACGCCCGUGUGUUAGGCCGUGUGGUGAAUUUAAUUCCACAUUUAAUGUGCAAAAUUCACAUGGCUGAGACACACGGCCGUGUCUCUGCUCGUUUGUUUACUACCAUGCACACUGACUUGAAAUUUUAAGGUUCAGAGGACACACGGUCGGACAACACGCCCAUGGGGCUGACCGUGUAUCGCGCACGACCUAUACACAUGCCCGUGUGUCUACCCGUGUGGACAAAGUAAGGCUAUCUACCAAGCCUUUUUGCCACCCUUUCUUGCACCAACCUACACAACAACAAAUAUCUCCAAUUCACAUAGCAAUAUAAGACUAAAUCAACCACAACAUGGCAUUCAAAUGCAAACCUUAUAACACUCUAACAACCGAACAUGCACUUGAUCAUUCAUAUAUUUAUUCAACCAGAGAAGCAUCAUCAUUUGCAAUUAUCAGUAAUGAAUAUUAACCAUUAACCAUGGCCUUAUACAAAAGAGGGUUUUUGUCCCAUGCCAACACAAUUGGCUAACUUAACAAUAUGACACAUAACAACAAGACUCAAUCCCUAUACAUGCCAUAUCCAAGUUAAUAAAACUAACUGUACCAAAAGCUUAGAGUGAUAGAGUGAGUGAUUCCUCCAAUGUUCUUUGAUCCACGGGCUAAUUUGGCAGCACUACAAGAAAUGGAAAGGAAAAGGGUAAGCACAAAGCUUAGUAAGUUGCAUGUAAAUAUCGAAAUAACAACCAUGUUACCACAUGUGAUCAUAUUUCCAAUAUAUCAUAAUUCGCACAAACAAUAAAUGUUCAUAACAAUUCUUACUCAUGUUCAUUCAUCACUAUUCAUACAACAAGAAUAGAGUUCACAUAUCAUCAAUUUCAUUUAAGUACCUAUACCACUCACAACAUGGUCAUAAGCACUAUCAUUUUGACAUAAACAGUAAAUUUCUCAUUGAACCAUUUGGAAUACUACAGGAUCAUCACAAAGUUUCAAACAUAGGGUACGAUGCCGGUGUUAUGUUCCAAACAUGUUCUUAUACUAGCUCUCACAUCUAAGUCAAUGCCAUGUCCCAGAUAGGUCUUACACUGACUUACAUACAUCAAGGCCGAUGCCAUGUCCCAGUUAGGUUUUACACUGGCUCUCACUUAUCUGUGUCGAUGCCAUGUCCCAGACAGGUCUUACACUAACGCACCUUAAGCCGAUGCCAUGUCCCAAACAGGUCUUACACUAGCUUGCAUAUCCUGAGGUCGAUGCCGUGUCCCAGAAGGUCUUACACUGCCUCUCAUCUAUUGAUGCUGAUGCCAUGUCCUAGAUAGGUCUUACACUAGCACACAUAUCACCCAAAUGUCAUGGCAUGGAUAUCCAAAUUAUUCUUAUGGUUCAACUGGGAGUAUCUACUACAUCGAUUCUCAUCAUGCACAUUCACAGCAAUAGUCCACAAUUUUUGCCAUAUUAAUUAUACAAUACAUAAAGACAGAUAAGUUACAUUAUCUAUGUACAACUUACCUCGGUACACAAAAUGUAGGUGACUAAUUGUAUUUAAUCUACUUGCUUGGCUUUUCCCCAGUCUAGGUCCAGAUUGCGUAUUUCUUAAUCUAUAAUAAUAAAAUUUCACCCAUUUAAUCAUCACAUUAAUAAAAACAUACUACAAUUCACAAUUCAACAAAAUGAAUGGUUUGCCCUUAGACUUUGCAAAAACUAUAAUUUUACCCUUAGGCUCGUAAAUUAUUUUUUAUCGAGUUUCCUUAUUAACCAAGCGUAGCCGAACUUUUUUUAUACCUAUAGUAACUCACAAUUUCAACAUUUCACACAAUUACCACCUAUUUUACAAGCUUUACAAAAUAGCCCAUUUAGGUGUUUUCAUGAAAACCCUUUUCACAAAAGUUAUUUAUUUAACAACCAUGAUUCAUUUUCUUCCAUGAAAAUUCAGUAAACAACAAGAACACUCUCAUGGAAAAUCCCUAGUCUCUCAACCCUUUUGCAAAAUAGCCUCCCAUUAGUUAGCUUAAGCUACAAGGGCUCCAAAAGUACAAAAAUCAUUAAGAAAGACCACAAAAAUCACUUACUUGCAAGGGUGAAAAGUUGCUGAAAUUUCAAGCUUCCAAAACCCUUAUUUUGUUAAAAAUUCCUGUGGAGAGGAGGAAGAUGAAAGGUGAUAUCCUUUUCUCUUUAUUUUAUUUUAUUUCAAGUCAAAUUAGUAUCCAAAUUUCUCCUAAACUUUGACCAUUUCAUUUUCUUUGUCCCUAUGGCCUGCCCCCCUUAUUAGAAUGGGUCUAUUUUCCUUUAAAGACCCCUAAUGAUGAUUCUCUAGCUAUUUAACACCAUUUGCUAGUAAAACAAAACUUUUGCCCUUUAUGCGAUUUAGUCCUUUUUCGCAAUUAAGCUCACAAUAGCUAAACUUGAUUCACAAAAAUUUUCAUGCACUUAUAUAAUCACGCUACAACACAUAAAUUGAUAUUAAAAAUAAUUUCCCUGACCUCGGGUUAGUUGUUCCAAAACAAUUAUUCCGACUAGGCUAAAAAUCGAGCUGUUACAUCUGGGACAUGGCGUUGGCAUCGAUAUGUGAUCCCAUAUAAGACCAUAUCUGGGAUAUGGCAUUGGCAUCCUACCAUGUGUAUGAGAGUUCCCGAGUAUCCUUUAGUACUCCAAGUGGUUCAACGGGUAAUCCAACGAUUAUUUCAAAGAGAUGACAAGGUAUGAUCAUGUUGAAAGGGUACAGGUACGUAUACAAAGCUCAUAAACAUUGAGAUUCUGAAUCAAUGAGACCUCAGAAGAAGUGAAUGAAUGAAUUAUGAUCAUGAGUUUUAUUGCACAUUAUGUAAAUGGCAUGACUUAAAAUGUACCUAUGAUACUUGAUGACAUUGUGAUAAAUAUUAUUGUGUUAUAUGUAUAAUAAUGCAUGGUUAAUGUUGUUAAUUAUUUACAUGCAAACUUACUAAGCUUUAUGCUUACUCCCCUUUCUUUUCCAUUUUCUUUUAGUAUUGCCAAGCUAUCUCAGGGAUCGAAGGACGUCAGAGCUCGAUUCACACUAUCAAAUUAAUCUUUUGGGUAUAGUAAAAUUCAAGUAUUUUAAGUAUGGCAUGUAUAGGGACUUGGUCUUUUUGUUUUAUGUCAUAUUUUUGUGGCCAAAUGUGUUGGCUUAUAAUGAUUUAAUGAUUCAUUUUGUAUAUUAAUUAUGGGGAUGUAAUCCUAUUCAUACAUACAUACAUGUGCUAUAGUCACUUAGGUUGUGGUAUUCAUUUCGCAUGGAUGAAUUGUGGAUUUAAUCAUGGAUGUUUGAUGAUGGAAAUGAGAAUAAAUGGCAUAAUAACAACUAAGGCAUGAAUGUAUGAAAUGGAAUGAAAUUGAUGUUUCAUAUUGCAUUUGAUUUGGUAACCUUGGUCUAAAUAAAAUAUGAAGUCUUAAGCAAGUAUAAAUUGAUACGAAGUUGAUAUGCAUGAGCCAUGUUUGUAAACGUGUAAGUGCUCAUUUAUGUUGUGUAGGAUGUCAUUGAGAUGUGUAUGUGUGCAUGUGUUAUUAAGGGUGACAAAAGGCUUGGAAAAUAGCCUCAAAGUUUUCCACACGAGUAGGCACAAGAGUGUGUGUCUAGACCAUGUAUGACACACGGUCUGCCCCAUGGACGUGUGAUCUGGCUGUGCGUCCCCUGCACCCUAAUUAGGUAAAACAGAAUGCCUAGUAGUAAACACACGAGUAGAGACAUGGUCGUGUGUCUCAGUCAUAUGAAGGACACGGCCUCAGGACAUGGGCGUGUGCCCAGGCCGUGUGAAGUCUGCACCUGAUUUUUGGAAUUUAAUUCGCCACAUGGGCAUUUGACUUGGUCGUGUGACCCUAUUUAGUUGAUAAUGUCAUAAACAAAGAGUUACACGGGAUGAGGACACAGACGUGUGUGACCACACGGCCUACCCACACGGGUGUGUGACCCCCCAAAACAAGAGAAUUUUUUAAGUGUCACAAAAUUUUUGAAAGUUCUCUGUUUAGUCCCAAUCCACACCCCAUGUAUGUUUUAGGCCUCGUGGGCCUGUAUAAGGGAUGAGAUGCAUUUUUAUGAAUGGUUUUACAUUGAAUUAAAUUUUAUGGCCUGGUUUUGUAUGAAUGUUUACGUUUAAGUUCAGUAAUGCCUUGGACCUUGUCCCGGUGUCGGAUGAAGGUAAAGGAUGUUACAUUUAGUGGUAUUAGAGCUACGGUUUAUUCGAUUCUUGGACUAAUGUAGCCUGUGUACCGGUCUAGCUAUACAUGCCAUAAAUGAAUUAUGAUAGUGUGACAACUCCUGACCUUUUAAAUUGUGUUUUCAUAUAGUAAUGGAUCCCAAUUGAUCUGAAGCUAAUGAUGUAGAAAGUAAUGCACCGACUCCUGCUCAAAAGGCAGCGCCAGUUGAGAGUAGACCCAUGACUGUGAGUCAGAGAGGAGGAGAAUAGGCUAGGGAAGCCUUUUUCCAUAUGAUGAAUGUCUUGUAUACGGAGUUUGCUCAAACGAACCCAAAUGCUCAACCCCUCCUGUAACGCCCCCGUACCCGAGACCGUGACCAGAGUCGAGCACGAGAUGUUAACGGACUUAAUUCAUUAAUUAAACAGCUCAAACAAUUUAUUUUAGAAUUUCCAGACAAGCUGGCUAACUGCGUCACAGUCGUAAAAAAAAUCAUAUCUUGAGUUACAAAACUCAAAAUCCAAUUCCAUGAAUUUUCCUUGAAACUAGACUCAUAUAUCUACUUACUAAUUUUUUUCUAGAAUUUUUGGCUAGGCCAAUUAGUACAGUUUAUUAGUUAAAGUCUCCCCUGUUUCAAGGCUCGGCUACUCUGACCCCUGUGUAUUACAAAUCAGAUAUCUCCCUGUACAGAGUUUCAAUGGCUAUGCCAUUUGUUUUUCAUAAAACUAUACUCAAUGAUUAUUUCAUAAAUGUAAUGUAAAUCUCCUACUUGUUUUUUUACAAUUUAUGGUGAAUUUUUAAAAUCAAAACAGGGGAUUCAGAGAUCGCUCUUACCCUGUUCCACCAAAACUUAAAUAUCUCAUAAAAUAUAACUAAUUUACUUGUUUCGUUUCUUCCAUAUGAAAAUAGACUCAUCAAGCUUCGAAUCCAUAACUUAUUGAUCAUUUAAUUCCAUUUAUACUAUUUUAAGUGAUUUUUCAAAUUCAUGUCACUGCUGCUAUCUGAUUCUGUUUUGUGGCAAAUUUUACCUUUCCAAGGAUUUUCAUGGUUUAGUUAAGACAUAAAGCAUACAUGUUAUCAUAUAUAAACUUGAUUAGCCAUUCCAAUAGCUAAUCAUUCUCAAACAUUUCCAUUCCAUCCAUGGCCAUAUCGUAAGAUUAUACACACAAAAUGAUUGGAAUGCUAUACAUGCCAUAUUUCCAAAAAUUUCAAGUCAUUAUACCGCGAUUGUCCAGUGAUAGUGUGAUCGUGCCUCCGACCGUCCCAAUAUCCAAAUUGACUUGUCAAAACUACAAAUAAUGAAAAGGAGGGAGUAAGCAUAGAUGCUUAGUAAGUUCACAUGCAAAUAACAAAUAACUUAACAAAGCAAUUAUACCAACCAACAUUAGCAUAAUAUCACCAAAACAUGUAUCACAUUUCUAUUCAUCAUUCAUCAUCUUACCAUAUUAUUGUUGUCGUAUCGAGUCUCAAACCGAGGGUUAAUUACAUACCUAUCCAAAGUGCCCAUUCCACAACACUUACCAAUACGUCACUUGCAUCUUGAGUAUUCUUCCAUUUCACUAGAAUUUUACCCGUUGAACACAUCGAAAUAUAACUCGGAUACAUGGAAAGUUUGCACAUAAGUGCCACAUAUGUAGCCAAGCUACCAUGUAACUCGCCCAUAAGUGAACUCAGACUCAACUCAAUGAGCUCAGGCAUUCGCAUCCAUAAGUGAACUCGAACUCAACUCAACGAGUUCAAAUGCCUAGUUACAUUUCACGAACUCGGACUCAACUCAACGAGUUCGGACGUUCGCAUCCAUAAGUGAACUCAGACUCAACUCAACGAGUUCGGAUGCCCAAAUAUCCAAAUCUAUUCCUAAGGUUCAACGGGACUUUCCUCGUUCGUACUCCUUUACCAUUCUCCUUGGAAUACCAAUGACGAUACUUCGGUAGUCUUUCACAUUUUUCACAUAAUUCAUAAAAUUUUUGCAUGUUGUCCAACAAUGACCACAAAGCAUAAAUUGCAUGAAUACAAUCAUAAUAUCAUAUAAAUAGCAUUAAAAGAUUUAAAAUAACAGUUAUAUUAUAAUAUUUACAUAUGAACUUACCUCGAUACAAAAUGAGAAUAGUCGAGCCUAUUCCUCGUAAACUUUAUUUUUCCCCCGAUCUCGACUCGAAUCUCUUUUCUCUUGAUCUAUAAUACCAAAUUAAUUUAUUUAAUACACACAUUCAUCAAAACAGCCCCUAGAAGAACUUUGGCAAAAUUACCAUUUUGCCCCUAAACUUUCACAUAAUUACACUUUUGCCCCAAGGCUCGUAAAUUAAACCUCAUCCUAUUUUCUUAUGUUUUAUGACAUGCUGAUCAUUUUUCCCUUCUAUAGCAACAUCAAAUUCACACUCUAACAUGUACUUAUGAAUAUUAGGUAUUUUUACCGAUUAUGUCAUUUUACUCGUUUUUACGAAAAAAUCACUUAGCAAAAGUUGUUUAACACAAUCUCAAACUUCAUAUUCUACCAUAAAACAUCAAAAUUCAUACAUUUCAUCCAUAGGUAAAAUUUUAAAUAUAAACCCUAGCUCAAAAUAUUAGUAGAAAUAGGUAAACCGAGCUACGAGGAUUUCAAAAAUGUAAAGAACAUUAAAAACGGGCAUAGAAAUCACUUACAAUCAAGGCUUAAAAGUGUUGAAACCCUAGCUAUGGUGGAGAGCAAAACUCAGCAGAAACUUAUGGAGAAGAUGAUCAUUUUUGUGUUAUUUUUCCCAUUUUAUUUCAUUUAAUAUCCAAAUGACCAAAAUGCCCUUCCUUACUAAACUUUCAAAAAUUUCAUCCAUGUCCAAUUUUUGUCCAUAAACUUAGAAAUUGGUCAAAUUCUAUUUAAGACCUCCUAAUUAAUAUUUCAAAGCAAUUUCAUACUAGAAACUUCUCGAAUGCAAGUUUUGCAACUUAUUCAAUUUAGUCCCUAACUUCAAAUUAAGCACUUUAUGCAUAAAAUUUCUUCACGAAAUUUUCACACAAUCAUGAAAUCAUAUCAUAGACCUCAAAAUAAUCAUAAAAUAAUUAUUUUUAUCUCAGAUUUUGUGGUCCCGAAACCACUAUUUCGAUUAGGCCUUAAUUCGGGUUAUCACACCUCCACCCCGACGUAUUCCUCAGCCUGAUCCUGAAGCAUCCCAGGGCAUGAAUUUUAUGAGAUUGAAUAGACCUCCAAUGGAUAAAAUUCAAAAGCAAGGGGCCGAAGAGUUCCAAGCUAGUUAGAUGAUGACCCCAAGAGGACAGAGUUCUGGCUUGAGAAUAUCAUCAGGGUAUUUGAUGAGUUAUCAUGCACACCUGAGGAAUUCAUGAAAUGUUUUGUGUCAAUCUUGAGAGACUCGGCUUAUCAGUGGUGGAACACCCUUAUGUUGGUUGCACCAAGGGAGACAAUUAAUUGAGAAUUUUUCCAAUGAGAGUUCCGUAAGAGGUACAUUAGCCAAAGGUUUAUUGAUCAGAAGAGAAAGUUAUUUCUUGAGUUAAGACAGGGCUGAAUGUCUGUAACAGAGUAUGAGCGUAAGUUCGUAAGACUCAGUAAGUAUGCCCGAGAGUGUGUAUCGACUGAGGCCAUCAUGUGUAAAAGGUUUGAGGAUGGAUUAAAUGAGGAUAUCCGAUUGCUAGUUGGCAUCCUAAAAUUAAAAGAGUUUGUUGUACUGGUUGAGAGAGCUUGCAAGGUCGAGGAAUUGGCUAAAGAGAAAAAAAGCUAAGUUUGAGUCUCGAGAUUCGAAGAAAAGGCAGAUGAGUAAGUCAUUGCAAUCCUCAUCUAAGAAACCGAGAGAGUUUAAUACUGGAUCGAGUGCUUCAGUUGGGUACUCAAAUAGAAAUAAGGGUAAGCAGUACUCGAUUUCAAAAGCUCAGGCUACUUCAAUUGCUAGUGUUGGUAAUGCCCGACCGAGUAGACCGGAGUGUUCACAGUAUGGUAGACGUCACCUCGACGAGUGCCAAGCUAAUGAUGGAACUUUUUUUAAGUGUGAUUCCCAAGAUCAUUUCAUUAGAGAUUGCCCCAAAAUGGUUGAUAAGGAGAUAUUUCAGAGUGUAAGAUCGGGAAAUGCUAUUUCUAGAGGGAGACCACAGAGAAAUUUGAAAAAUGGAGUGAUUAGUAAGAGUGCACCUAGAGAUCCAGCUAUGAGACCCGAGGGUAGGGCACCUGUGAGGACCUAUGCCGUUCGCAUUCACGAAGAGGCUUCAUCUCCUGAUGUGAUUACAGGAACUUUUUCUCUCUAUGAUACUCAUGUUGUUGCUUUGAUUGAUCCGGGAUCUACCCAUUCGUAUAUUUGUGUGAAAUUGGUGUCUAGCAUGAAUAUGCAUGUUGAAUCUACAAAAUUUGUGAUAAAAGUGUCAAACCCUCUAGGCAAGCAUGUGUUAGUUGACAAAGUAUGUAAGAAUUGCCCUUUAAUUAUUAAAGGUCAUUGUUUCCUGGCUAAUCUUAUGCUUUUGCCGUUUGAUGAAUUUGAUAUAAUACUUGGUAUGAAUUGGUUAACCAUGCAUGAUGUAGUGGUAAACUGUGGAAGGAAAAUCAUUGAAUUAAAAUGCGAAAGUGGUGAUAUUCUUCGGGUUGAACCAGAUGAAUCGGAUAGCUUGCCUGUAGUGAUUUCUUCUAUGGCUACUCAGAAAUGUAUAAGAAAAAGUUAUGAAGCUUAUCUUGCCUUUGUACUGAAUACAAAAGAGUCUGAGUUGAAAAUUGAAUCAAUGCCAGUAGUAUGUGAGUAUCCAGAUAUGUUUCCGGAAGAUUUGCCCGGAUUGUCUCCGAUUAGAGAGGUUGAGUUUGGUAUUGAGUUAAUUUCUGGUACUGCACCUAUUUCAAUUGCUUCGUAUAGGAUAGCUCUGAUGAAAUUAAAUGUUGAAAGUUCAGUUACAAGAAUUAACAGAUAAAAGUUUUGCGAGACCUAGUCAUUCUUCGUAGGGCACACCGGUGCUAUUUGUAACAAAAGAAAGAUGGUUCAAUAAGAUUGUGCAUUGAUUACCAAUAGCUCAAUAAGGUAACCAUAAAGAACAAGUACCCCUUGCCAAGAAUCGAUGACUUUUUUGACCAAUAAUAUAGACUUGAUGUCUGGUUACUACCAGUUGAGAGUUAAAGACUCGGAUGUGCCAAAAACUGCUUUUCGGACGAGGUAUGGUCACUAUAAAUUUCUGGUUAUGCCAUUUGGUUUAAAGAAUGCUCCCGCGGUAUUUAUGGAUUUAAUGAACCAAAUUUUUCGACCGUAUUUGGAUAAAUUUGUGGUUGUUUUUAUUGACGAUGUACUAUUUAUUCUCAUGAUGAGACCGAGCAUGCCGAGCACUUGAGAACGAUUUUGCAAACUUUGAGAGACAAACAGUUGUAUGCUAAGUUUAGUAAAAGUGAAUUUUGGCUUAGAGAAGUUGGAUUUUUAGGUCACAUUGUUUCGAGCGAUGGUAUUAGAGUUGACCCGAGUAAGAUAUCGGUUAUUGUUGAAUGGAAACCGCCAAGGAAUGUAACUGAGGUUAGAAGCGUUCUAGCCUUAGCCGAUUAUUACAGACGAUUUGUUAAAGGAUUUUCCAUGAUUGCUACUCUGAUGACUAAGCUGUUACAGAAAGAUGUCAAGUUCAAAUAGACAAAAGGGUGUCAACAGAGUUUUGAGAAACUAAAGGCAUUGUUGACCGAGGCACUGGUUUUAGUGCAACCUAAACCGGGAAAAGAAUUUGUGGUUUAUAGUGACGCGUUGUUGAAUGGAUUGGGUUGUGUACUUACGCAAGAAGGUAAGGUGAUAGCUUAUGCCUCGAGGCAACUGAAACCACAUGAGAAGAAUUAUCUGACCCAUGAUUUAGAGCUAGCCCCUAUUGUGUUUACGUUCAAGAUUUGGAGACACCAAUUGUAUGGCUAGAAAUGUUGAGUAUUCACAGAUCAUAAGAGUCUAAAGUACUUAAUGACUCAAUUGGAUUUGAACCUACAACAACGAAAGUGGCUAGAGUUGAAAAAAAAUUAUGAGUUAGUGAUUGACUACCACCCGGGAAAGGCGAAUGCGGUCGCGGAUGCCUUGAGUAGGAAAUCGUUGUUUGCAUUAAGGGCUAUGAAUACAUGAUUGGCUUUAUCAGAUGAUGGUUCUAUUCUAGCUGAGUUGAGAGCUAGAUGUAACACCCCUAACUUGUAUCCGUCGCCGGACUAGGGUUAUGAGGCAUUACUGAUUAAAAGCACAAAUCCGAACAUUAAUAAAUUUUCACCCAAAUCAAACUUAUUUAUAAAUAAAAUAUAGUUAACUAAUAUUUCAGAACAUAUUCUAUUUUGCUCAUUGUAAACACAGAUCAUGUCAAAUUUCAGCUUAAAACUCACUGUAUAUAAUGCACAUAUAUAUACAUAUAUACGACAUUAAUCAUUGAGUACAUGAUUUAACAUAUUAUUAAGUCACUUAUGAAAUUAUGCUUAAAGUACUAAAUAUCACACACAUGUUCUUAUAAUUUAAUAAGCCAUACUACACAUAAAUAAAAAUUACUUACAUAUGCAACUAGGGUUAGGUCAAUUUUGAAUUUGCAUGCUUUGCACCCAAAUAUAAAAGCUAAACAUCCAUUCAGCAUUAAUCAAGUACCACCAUUUACUUCUUUUAAAAAUAUUAAUCAUAAAAGACUAUACAUAUUUACUCUAGGUCAUUAAAACAUGCUCAAUUAACCUUAGUAAAUUUAAUCAUUCUAUGAAUACACAUACCAUCCAAAAGUACACUAAUUAUUUAUGCCAAUCAAUAUGUUUGAGAUUACAUACUCAAAAGCCAAAUAACUAUUAACACUCAGUCAACUUAAGUUUUGGUUUACUCAUUGACAUUUAAGACUGAACUUUAAUAGCAUAAUCAUGAUAACCAAGUCUAAACAUGUAACCAUAAUCUAAUAUGUUUGACUGAAAAUACUUAUCAACUGAGAGUAAUUAUCUCUAUCAUUGUAAAACGCAAUCCAUAUAUAUAUAAACAUACCCAAAACUUAAAUCAUGCAUAUCAUAUACAAACAAAUCAAGUCACCUUAUCAUACGCAUAAAUAUUUGUAAUGCAUUAUCAUAUUAUUAUCAAAUCAACUUAUAUUACAAUUUAUACCUUUCAAGAAUAAGGCAUUAACUACAAAUAGACAUAUAAUCAAAUCACAAAUUUUACAUGCCAUGUAAUGACCAUACUAAAUUAAUUUAAGCUAUAUUUGAACUUAGCCAAGUCUAUGAUGCCGAAUCACAUUUAAUACAAUGGCCAAAUAUACUCACUACAAUCACAUAUAUUUUACUCUUUGUAUACUUAGCUGUAUCAAUCUUAUGUUCAACCAAAAUCAUUAAUGAUUACUAAAACAUUAAACACUUGUCAUAAACAUCAUUUCCUUCAUAGCACUAAACAAUAUUACUAAAACAAACUCAAGCCAUAAUCAAGCAUAAUCGAAUUUAAGCAUGGGAAUUAAUCCAUUUUCGCAUGGCCUUUAUACAUAACUAAAGUUCAAUAUUUCCAAACGUAAUCCAGCCUAUACAUUCCAUAGUUUCAAAAUGCAACUUGUAAAAUACCGAAAGUGGUCGAUAGUUGGAUAGACUUUGCUGACGAUCCCUGAGUUUGUAACUUGAAUCCAAAAUCUAUAAAAUAGAGACAAACAUAUACACACAGUAAGCUAUUUAAGCUUAGUAAGUCAUAAGCAAACAAACAACUGAUGAUUUAAUCAACUUAUUUUAUCUAACCAAAUUACAUUAUCAUUAUCAAGCUUAUUCUCAACUUACAAAUUUCAUAAAUAAUAUACCUGUACACAUAACCAUUACCUUGGCUGAAUAUUCACAAGGUUAAGUCAUCAAAUCAUUGUUCAAUUUUCAAAAGCCAAAUUGUCAUUAUAAAACCUAAUGCACAUGUAUUUGUAUACGUAAGCUCUUAAAUCAAGAUAAAAUUUUAUAUACAUACAUUAACUAAAUGGCCGAUUAUACAAGAUCAUAUAUAUAUGCAUAAGAAAAAUCAUUUCAACAAGAAUCAUACUUCUUGUUCACAAGGCCGAAUACACAUGUCAUAUUCACAUAUACAUUUCAUUCAUGUUACACAUGCUUGUAACUAAUAUAAUAAUACUCACUUACCUUAUUUCUAAUAAGUACUAGCCUAAUACAUACCUGAUCACUUAGCUAAUUUUACAUAUUUGUUCACCACUUAUCGAUGCUCGAUGAACCAUUCAGAAUUGGAUAGGACACUCGGAUAAUCACACAUCGUACAAUGCCAACGUCCCAGACGUGGUCUUACAUGUAAUCACAUAUUGCACACAUAUGUCAGAAUCACAUAUUGAUUCCAUGGUCUUACUCACACACAUAUAUCGGAAUCCUAUGUCAUGACAUAUGUAUCCUAACUAUUCCUAAGGUUCAUACGGGGCUUUCAGUUGUCGUAACUCGGUCGAAAUGAAUGCUUGAACAUGGUUACCAAGCUUAUACACAUUCGACAAUAGCAUGUAUAAAUUCAUACAUUACAUACCAGCAUAUAUAUUUAGCAUUUAAUUACAAUUAGGCACGUCUAUUUGCUUAUAAACUUACCUCGGACGAUACAAAACGGAAUAAGGCAGCUAGUCGACAAUUUUCGCUUUCCCCCGAUCUAAAUCUGAUUUCUUUGGUUCUUGAUCUAAACAUAUUCAAAUUAAGCUCAUUGAAACAUAUUUUCAUUCAAUUUAGUCCAAAAACACAUAAAUGGGAAAAUUAUCAUUUUACCCCUAACAUUUACAAUUUUUACAAUUUAGUCCCUAUUGCACAAAACACAAAAUAUGCAAAAUCUUAAGAUACUCAUGUUAGGUCGAAUGUUCCUAGUGUUAUAUAUUUCAUUUAUUUCACAUUUUAGUCCCUCAAAUUAUUAUUUUUGGAAUUUAGUCCUAAUUACUCAAAAUCAUCAAAAACUCCAAUACAAAACAUGUUAAUCUAAAACAUAUCUUUCAUAUUUCAUCAUUAAACAAAAAAAAUCACAAGCUCUCAGCAAUGGCACAACUCAAAAUGUUCAUCAAAAUCAAAAAUUCAAGCAUGGGUUUUGUAGUACUCGAAGCAACGAUCUCAAAAACGUAGAAAUUAUCAAAAACUGAACAAAAAAUGAACCUUGAUUGAGCUAAAUAGAUGGCCAAACCCUAACUUGUUGUUCUUUCCGUUUGUUUUGGCAAUUAGAAAAUAAAAAUGAUGAACAUGGCUUUCUUCAUUAUGUUACAAUAUGAUAUAUUAUAACAUUUUAUUUCAUUUACAAUUUUAACCUUAUUUAUUAAUUAUAAAACCAUUAUAACUAUGGCCAUUACCGUCCAUUUUAGCUAACAAUGGGCUAAUUGCAACAUAAAGGCUUCCAUUUAAAAAGCCAAAUGCAAUUUGGCCCCUUUAAAAAAUAACCACCAAAUUUUCAUUUUACACGAUUAAGUCCUUUUAUUUAAUCGAACACUCAAACGAUAAAAUUAAAUCACGAAAAUUUCACAAAUAUAAAUUCACACAAAAUAAACACAGAAAAUAAUUUUAAAAUAUUUUUCUAACUCGGAUUCGUGGUCCCAAAACCACCAUUCCUGUUAGGGUCUAAAUCGGGCUAUUACAUUAGGCUGAUGUUUCUCCAAGAGAUUUAUAAAGCUCAGAAAAGUGACAGUGAUUUGCAAGAUAAGAGAGUUCAGUGUGAGUCGAGUAUUGAACCAGAUUUUCGAAUUAGUUCCGAUGGGUGCUUAAUGUUCUAAGAUAGGAUUUGUGUUCCUAAAAAUACUGAGUUGAUUCAAAAGAUUUUGCAUGAAGCACAUAAUGGAUGUUUAUCUGUUCAUCCAGGUAGUACGAAAAUGUAAAACGAUUUGAAGAAAGUGUAUUGGUGGUCGGGAAUGAAAAGAGACAUUUUAGAGUUUUUUUCUAAUUGUUUGAUUUGUCACAAGUGAAAGUCGAGCACUGAGUACCUUCAGGUUUACUUCAGCCCGUAAUGGUUCCCGAGUGGAAAUGGGACUGUAUUACUAUGGAUUUCGUGACGAGUUUGCCUUUGACACCAAAAAAGAAAGAUGUUGUGUGGGUUUUGCAGAUCGAUUGACAAAGUCAACCACUUUACCAUUCACUUGAAAAAUUAGUCGAGUUGUAUAUUUCUAAAAUAGCGAGAUUGCACGGAGUACCUUUGUCAAUUAUAUCGCAUAAAGAUCCGAGGUUCACUUUGCGAUUUUGGAAAGAGUUACAAGAAGUGUUGGGCACGAAAUUGAAUUUUAGUAUCGCUUUCCAUCAUCAAACUGGCGGUCAAUCCAAAAGGAUAAUUCAGAUUCUUGAAGAUAUGUUAUGGUGUUGUGUUCUUGAGUUCAAAGGUAGUUGGAAAAGGUAUUUAUCGUUGGUAGAAUUUACCUACAAUAAUAUUUUUCAGUCGAGUUUGAAAAUGGCGCCUUAUGAGGCAUUGUAUGGACGUAAGUGUCGAAGCUUUUGUAUUGGACCGAACUCAGAGAAAAUAGGAUUCACGGAGUUAAUUUACUCAAAGAAACCGAAGAGAAAGUGAAGAUAAUCUGUGAUUGUCUAAAAACUGCUUCGGAUAGACAGAAAUCCUACAUGGAUUUGAAAUGGAAAGAGAUUGAGUUUAAGGUCAGUGAUAAGGUAUUCCUAAAAGUAUCUCCAUGGAAGAAAAUCCUCAGAUUUGGCCGGAAGGGCAAGUUGAGUCCGCGUUUUAUUGGAAAGUAUGAGAUUACCGAAAGGAUAGGGCCAGUAGCAUAUCAGUUGGCUCUACCAUCUGAGUUGGAAAGAAUUCAUGAUGUGUUCCAUGUCUCUAUGUUGCGCCGAUACCGAUCUGAUCCUUCACAUGUGAUUUCACCAACAGAAGUUGAGAUUCGACUGGAUAUGUCAAACAAUUAAGGAACAAAAGUAUUGCCCUUGUGAAAGUAUUAUGGAAAAGAAAUGGGGUUGAAGAGGUUACAUGGGAGACCGAGGAAAACAUGAGAAACCAAUACCCAAAGCAUUUCACCGGUAAGAUUUUCAAGGACGAAAAUCUCUAAGGGGGAGAGUUGUAACACCCCGAAUUAAGGCCUAGUAGGAACAGUGGUUUUGAGACCACAAAUCUAAAGUAGAAAUAAUUAUUUUAUGAUUCUUAUGAGGUCUAUGAUAUGAUUGCAUUCUUGUGAGGAAAUUUCAUGAAGAAAUUUUAUUGAUAAAGUGUCCAAUUUGACAUUUAGGACCAAAUUGCAAAAGUUGAAAAAUGUGAGUUCUAGAAGCUUUAAGCAUGAAAUUUCCAUGGAUUAUUAAUUAGAGGUCCUUAAAUAGAAAUUUUCCCAAUUUCUAUAAUUAUGGACAAAAAUGGGCAUGAAUAGGAAAAAUUUGAAAAAAAGGCCUUAAGGGCAUUUUUGUCAUUUGGUUAAUAAAAGAAUAAAAAGGGAAAAUUAAGUCAAAAUUGAUGUACAUAUUCUUCAUGUGUGCCAAAAAUUCUAAGGGUUCCAUAGCUAGGGUUUCUUCAACUUUCAAGCUCAAUAGUAAGUGCAUAUAGCCUCGUUUUUAAUGCUCUUUAUAUUUUUGAAACCCUCAUAACCCGAUUUACCUAUUUCUAGCCAUAUUUUAAAGUAGGGUUCAUGUUUGAAAUUUGAUCCAUGUAUGACAUGCAUGUAUUCUGAUGUUUCAUGGUAGAUUAUGGAAGUUUGAUGUGUGUUUAACAUCUUUUACCAAGUGAUUUCUAGUGAAAAUAGCUAAAAAGGACUUUUUUGCAAAGUUUGUAAAAUAAGUAGUAAGAUGUAAGAUUUAAUGAGAAAUGUCAGCUUUUAUGAGCAUGUUAUAAGUUCGGCUAGGCAUGGGUAACAAAGAAAAUGAACACAUUUCAUUUUACGAGCCUAGGGGCUAAUUUGUAAAUAUGUGAAAGUUUAGGGGUGAAAUUAUAAUUUUGCCAAAGUAUGAUUUAUGGACUGAUUUGAACAAUGUGAUAAUUAAAUAAGUGAAGUUUGUUAUUAUAGAUCAAGAAAAACGAAGUCUGGACCUAAACCAAGAAAAGAAUAAGGUUGUGGACUAAAUCGAAUAGUUAGCCAUAUUUUGGUACCGAGGUAAGUUCGUGUGUAAAUAAUGCACCAUUACAUUAUUAUGUUUUUAAUGCUUUAAUAUUGCAUGAAUUGUGUAAUUGUCUUUAUAGAUUUAAUUAAUGAUGACUCGAUGACGAUUCGACGAAGUUUGAAAUCUCGAAACCUCGGUUGAACCUUAAGAAUAGUUAGGAUACAAAUGUCAUGACAUUAGGAUUAUGUCCAAUCCCAUGUAAGACCAUGUCUGGGACAUGGCUUUGGCAUCGAUAUGUAAUUUUGUGUAAGACCAUAGUUGGACUAUCGGUAUCGAUAUGUGAUCCCAUGUAAGACCAUGUUUGGGACAUGGCAUUGGCACCAAUCUACGAUCCCAUGUAAAACCAUGUCUGGGACAUGGCAUUGGCAUCCUACCAUGUGUAUGAGAGUUCUCGAGUAUCCUUUAGUAUUCCAAGUGGUUCAACGGGUAAUCCAAUGAUUAUGUCAAAGAGAUGACAAGGUUUCAUCAUGUUGAAAGGGUACAGGUACGUAUACAAAGCUCAUAAACAUUGAGAUUAUGAAUCGAUGAGACCUCGGAAGAAGUGAAUGAAUGAAUUAUGAUCAUGAGUUUUAUUGUACAUUAUGUAAAUGGCAUGACUUAAAAUGUACCUAUGAUACUUGAUGACAUUGUGAUAAAUAUUAUUGUGUUAUGUGUAUAGUAAUGCAUGGUUAAUGUUGUUCAUUAUUUGUAACGCCCCGUGCCCGAGACCGUUGCCGGAGUCGAACACGAGGUGUUAACAGACUUAUUUCAUUGUAAAACACAGUUCAUUUAAAAUUUCCAGACAAGCUAGCUAACUGCGUCACUGUCACCUUAAAAAUCAUAUCUUGAGUUCCAAAACUCAAAAACCAGUUCUGUAAAUUUUUCCUGAAACUAGACUCAUAUUUCCAGCUACAAAUUUUUUUUUUAGAAUUUUUGGUUGGUCCAAUUAGUACAGUUUAUUAGUUAAAGUCUCCCCUGUUACAGGGUUCGACUACUCUGACCUUCAUGCAUUACAACUUAGAUAUCUUUCUGUACAAGGCUUCAAUACUUAUGUCGUUUGUUUCUAAAGAAACUAGACUCGAAAAGGAAUCUGUACAUAUAUGGAAUGACUUCUAAUUAUCUCUGAUUAAUUUAUAGUUAAUUUCCAAAGUCAGAACAGGGGAUCCAGAAAUCGCUCUGGCCCUAUUUCACGAAAACUUAAACAUCUCAUAAAAUACGGCUCAUAUGAUCGUUUCGUUACUUUCAUAUGAAAAUAUAUUCAUCAAGGUUCGAUUACAUAAUUUAUUCAUUAUUUAAUUCUAUUCCUACUAUUUUUAGUUAUUUUUCAUAUUCACAUCACUGCUGCUGUCGGUAUCUGUUUUUAAGGUAGACUUUACCUAUUUCAUAAUUUCCAUGAUUCAACUAGCCCUUUAACAUACAUAGCACAAAAAUAUGAUCGUGAUUAACCAUUCCAAUGGCUAAUCAUUGCCAAGCCUUUCCACACCUCUCAAUGACCAUAUAUAUACAAAAUGAUUAUAACGCUAUGCUCAAAAUAUAUAAGCCAUUUUCGCAUGGCUAUCCAAAUAUAUACAAUACCAAAGUACUUGACUAACAACAAAAGGGUAGUCCUAUACAUGCCAUUUUCAGAGUUCAUCUAAAUGAGUACCAAAAGGGCUUUGAUAGUGUGGAUGACUUUGACUUGCCACUCCCGAAUCCGAUAGCUGACGAACCAAAAUCUAUAAAACAGAGAAUCAAAGAAACAGAAUAAGCAUUUAAUGCUUAGCAAGUUUUGAGUGAUGAAAUCAUGCACAACUGAAGUAUAGCAUUCAUAUGACUAAACGAAUAAUUUCAUAUACACAUAUUAUCAAAAUCAUACCUACUUCACAUUUCCAACCCUUAUAUUCAUACAUAAGGAAUCAACUUGACUAAAGGCUGGAAGCUUGUUAAUCGAUUGAUCGAAUACUAUUUAAAAGGAAUCAAUUAUUCCAAUGCAUAUACGAAACAUACCUCAUCGUUGGGAUUUUACAAGCGUAUUAAUUGAAAUUAUUACAGCAAGAUCGCUCAUUCCCAAACCCAAGUAUCUUCGGGAUUUAGCCGGAUAUAACCACUCGCACAAGGCCUUCGGGUCUUAGCCCGGAUAUGGUCACUAGCAUAAAUGCCUUCAGGACUUAGCCCGGAUAUAGUCGCUAGCACAAAUGCCUUCGGGUCUUAGCCCGGAUAUAGCAACUCGCACAAAUGCCUUCGGAUCUUAGUCCGGAUAUAGUCACUAGCAUAAAAGCCUUCGGGACUUAGCCCGGAUAUCAUUCGAAUAACCAUGCACAUAUAUCAAUAAAUCAUGACACAUCCAUAUUUCAUUUUCAUUACCAAAGCUCAAACACAAGACACUUAUCACACUUACUAAUUUCGGCUCAAUAGCCACAUACAAAGAGCAUGAUUUUGAUUGGCUUUAUAACAUGAUCUCUAUACACAUUCGGCUACCCGUCAUAGGUAUAAACUAAUCACCUCAAUAUAUAAUUCAAGUAGAAUCAUUAUAUCACCGUUUAUUUGUCAUACUUAUAUGUCAUGACCUAAUCGAAUCAUAAUCUAAGUUCCAUUACUCGAAAACUUACCUCGGAUGUUUUCGAACGAUUUCAACGUCUAUUCGAUCACCUUUUCCUUUCCUUUUUCGGAUUUAGUUCCCCUUUUCUCUUGAGCUUAAUUUAACAAAUAAAUUGAUUUAAUCAUUUUGAACAUCAAGGAGAAAUUCAAGGUACUUAGCCCAUGUAUAUUAGGCAUUAGAGUCAUAUAUGUAUGAAAUCAUGAAUCAAAUUCAACAUAUUAGCCAAUAUUCUCCUUUAGCCGAUUUUCUAAGUCAAGAUAAAGCCAUCAAUAUGCUUACCUAUAGCCGAACGUACAACAUCAAUCUAUGUAUUCAUUCAUGUGGCCGAAUAUGCAUGUCUAUGGUGAGGCCGAUUGUGUACUUAAUACAUUCUACAAAUAUGGUCACUUGUAUUGACUAAUUACCAUUUUGUUUCAAGUUCAAAGCUCGCUAAAACACAUAUAUACACUAGUAAUCAAAUACUAACAUUUGCACUUCACCUUAAUAGCUAACUUAGCAACCCUUAAUUUAACAUAUAAUUGUUCAUAACAAAAUUAAAUCAUCCUCUCCAUUCCAUCAAUUCAAAACACAUACAUUACUCAAUAAUAUUCAAAGUCACAUUCGGCCUUAGUACACAACUUCUCUACUUCAUCUAACAUGAACAACAACUAUAUUUCUCUUCUACUUCCUACCAUGGCCGAAUGCUUCAUGAAGUUGCUAAGACCUGCCUUUUUCAAAUUCUCACACACACUCACAUCCAAUCCUUUUUGUUGAGCACUCAAACUCUAUCAUCUUCAUACCUCAUCAACACAACAUCAAACACCAACCAAGAAGACAACACCCAUGGCCGAGUAUCAUCUCCCUCACAUAGCAAAGAUUUAAACCAUGGGCUAGGUAGAACUCAAGCUAACAACUAAAAAUAUGCAUGAAUCUCAUGGAGCAACAUCAAACAUACCUUAGCCUAGUUACAAGCAUGGCCGAAUCUCUUCAACUUUUCUCCCUUUCUUUUCCUUUGAUUUUUCGGUCAAAGAUGUUAAAGGAUGAACAUUUUUUUUCUUUUCUUUGUUUUCAUCACCCUUCAUCCACUUAUUUUAUUACUAACUCUUUUAUUUUAUUCUUUCCAACAUGAAACAUUAACACACCAUGUUUAUAAUAUGCUAUGACCCAUAGCAUGGCCGGCCACUAGCUCAAAUUUUGGGUAAUUUGACAUGCAAACCCAUCAUUUCUAUAACAUGCAUUAAUAGGCCACUUUACAUUUGCCUAGCACAUUUCUAAAUUUUCUCACAUAAGUCCUAUUUACUAAAAUUCACCUACAAUUAACAAAAUUCAAAUAUGAAAUUUUCACACAUGCAUAUAUACAUAUAAUAAGCAUCAAAUAUGACAGUUAAUUAUUUUUAUGACUCGGUUUUGUGGUCCCGAAACCACUUCCUGACUAGGGUCACAUUAGGGCUGUCACAUUAUUUACAUGCAAACUUACUAAGCUUUAUGCUUACUCCCCUUUCUUUUCCAUUUUCUUUUAGUAUCGCCAAGCUAGCUCGAGAACCGAAGGAUGUUGGAGCUCGAUUCACACUAUCAAACUAAUCUUUUGGGUAUAGUAAAAUUCAAGUAUUUUAAGUAUGGCAUGUAUAGGGGCUUGGUCUUUUUGUUACAUGUCAUAUUUGUGUAGCCAAAUGUGUUGGCUUAUAAUGAUUUAAUGAUUCAUUUUGUAUAUGGCCAUGAGAUAUGACCCAUAUUAAUUAUGGGAAUGUAAUCCUAUUCAUACAUGCAUACAUGUGCUAUGGUCACUUAGGUUGUGGUUAAAUUCAUUUUGUAACGACUCGAAUUUUUACGGUUAUCGAAAAAGUAUAUUUUCGGGUCUCUGUUUUUGAAAAAUGGAUUCGUAAAUAUUUAUUAAAAAUAUUUACUAAGUUAAUUGAGUGGUAAAUUAAAGUUUAAUUAAGUAAAUUAGCUUAAAUUAAGGAUAAUUGGAUAAAAGGAUUAAAUUGAAUAUAGUGUGAGAUUUUAAUUAUAGAAUAAAGAAAAUUGAAGGGACUGGAUAAGUAAAUAAGCCAAAAUGAAUGUCAAGUGUGUGGUAAAAAUAAAAUACAUGUGUAAUAAAUAUUAUGCAUACAUUUGUAAUACAUGUAUAUAUUUACUUAUUAUUUAAGUAAAUAUUGUUAUUUUAUAUUAAUUAAAUAAAUAAAGUAAAUAAUUAAAUAAAUAAAAGAAAGACAAAUGUAUGGUGAUAUAUGGAUACAUAUGUACUAAUAAUAUACACAUAUAUAAAUAAUAAAUAAGUAUUACUUAGUAAAAAUAAUAUAAUAAUAUAAUAGUUAAAUAAAGAAAGAAAAGAAAGAAAAAAAGAAUAAAAAGAACAGAAGGUGGAACGAAAAAUAGAGAAGGAAAGAAGGAGAGAAAGAAAGAAAGGUUUGGAAGUUUAAUUGGUAAGUCAAUCAAGCCCUUUCUACUUAAUUGUAAUGUUUUAGAAGGUUUGGAAUAAGGUUUUGAUGAAAUUAAGUUGAUAUUUUGAAAGUUAUUAGAUUUCUAGAUAUUGUUCAUGUUGAAUAAAUUGAAGAAUUAGGGGUUAAAUUGAUAGAAUUUCAAGUUAGAAGUGAAAUAAGGAUUGAAUUGUAAAGUAAAUCAUAAGUUUUGAAUAGUAGGGACUAAAUUGAAAGAAUUUUGAAAUUAUGGUUUUAUGGUGAAAUUAGUUUAAAGUGGAAAUUGAAUGGAAAUAUUGAGUUAAAUGUGAAGAAUAAAAGUUAGUCUCAGUUUAGGGACUAAAUUGGAAUUUAGACGAAAGUUGAAUAAAAAUUGAAAUAUUCAAUAUCAAAAUUGAAUGGUAAUGUAUUGAUAAUAUUUAAUUGAUUUUCGUAGCUAGUGUUGUGCUGAAAAAUCUCUGCUAGGCAAGGAAAAGACAAAGCCCGAGGGAUAGCUCGAAAAUUACGGUUUGUAUUUCUAUAAUCCGAACUUAAUACUUAAAUGUUGAAUUUAUUACUUGAUAAGUAUAGUAAGUAUUUAAAGGUAAAUAUUUGAAUAGGAAUAAAUAUUGAUUGGAAUUAAAGAGUGAAUUUUAUUAUUAAUUGUUAUAUUUUGAAGGAAUGUUUUGGUAAAUAAUUAAAGUGAGAAUUAUUGGUAUUAUGUUUAUUAUUGAAAUGAAUUGACUUGAAAAUGUGGUGAAAUAAUUAUGAAUAUGUGUUUAUUAUGGAAUCUGAUUAUAUGUUAAUGAAAAGUGAAUUCAAUUAUAUUGAAUUGUAUUGAUUUAUUAAAUUAUGUGAUUAAUUGAAAUAUAUACAUAUUGAUUGAAAACUGAAAAUUGGUUAAAUACCCUCUUAACAGUAUCAGGCUAAGUCGGAUAUAGUUGGCAUGCCAUAGGAUUGGAAGUGUUCAGGGAUAUUCCGACUUUGUGUCGACGAGACACUAUAAGUGUCGACUACUGUUACUGUUUCGAAUUUGUUCCGAUGAGGUACUCUGUGUACCACUACUGUUACUGCUACUGUUACUGUUACCGUUACGGUGUAUUAUGGCUCCUGCCGAUGAAACACUAUAUGCUAUCUUGGUGUGUGGGUUGGAUCUGUGUAUCCAUCUAGGUCCGAGUAUGUUAAUAGGGGUAAAUUACUGUACUGAACAAUUGAAUGAUACUGACAGUUACUGAAUAAUUAACUGAUACUGAAUAAUUUAUUGUCAUUUAACAAUUGAUCGUUACUGAAUAAUAUUGAUAAAGUGAUUAAUAUUGAGAAUAUUGAUUGUUACUAGAAUGGAUAAACAUAGAAUAUUGAUUGAUAAUUGAAUCGUUGAAUAAUAUUUAUUGAUAUUGAACAGUAAACUGAAGUAUGAAAAAGACACAUGAGUUAAGUAUCUCUGAAUUGAAUAUGAAUGAAGAGUAUUAUUGUUCAAUGGUUUGUGAAUUUAUUGUGAAAAUCUAUUUCAGAUUAAUAGAUAAUAAGAAUUGAAUUAGUUACAAGGAAUUUAUCUAUGUAUUGAAUAAUUAUAUAAAUGUGAAGGAUAUAUGAUUUUUAUGUAAAUGUUGUAUUUUCAUAUUAUUAAGUGUUCGAAUUAUAGAAAUACCAUUAAGUUCAUACUCAGCUUACGGUUUGUUUCUGUGCGCAGGUUAGGUUAAGGUCAGAUCGUUGAAUCAGCAACUUAGGCCAAUCUUGAACUCAAUAAGGUAAAGCAUGUUAAUUGUUGAUAAUGGCAUGUAUCUAGGAUGUCUUCAAGUGUGUUAUUUUGCAUUGUGAUUGUAAUAGUGAAAUAAGUAAAUUGAUAAUUGAUAAUGAUACAUGAUAAGUGUUUUAAGUCAAGUAUUGGAUAAUAUAUAAAAUGUGUUUGUAUUGGUUAUGGUUUGAAAUUUGCAGGGUUGGCUAGUAAAGUGUGAAAAGCUCAUUAUUGAGUCCACACAGCCUGGCACACGGGCGUGUGACUAGACCGUGUAAGACACACGGCUUGCACACGGGCAUGUUGUUAGGCUGUGUGUCCCCUGCACCUAUAAUGUUAUAAUUCAGUAUGUCUAGGUUUUACCACACGGACGUGUGUCUUAGCCUUGUGGAUGACAUGAUCUUAAACACAAGUGUGCGAUACGGCCAUGUGAAAACUGCACUAGAUUUGAAUUAGAAAAUAAAUCCACACGGGCUAAGUACACGAGCAUGUGACUUGACCAUGUGAAAUAAUUUAUUCAUGGGUAACAAGUCAGAGAGCUCCACGGGUAGAGGACACGGGCGUGUCUAGGCCGUGUGAGCCACACAGUGUGCCCACACGGGCGUGUCAUCUAGACCACACGGGCGUGUGAAACUGUUCAUUAAAGGAAAUUUUAAAAUUUUAUGAAAAAUCUUAUAAGCUCCCGAUUGAGUCCUGAUUUAUUUUUAUUUUCUAAUUCGGGUCUUGAGGGCCCAUUACAGAGACAGUAAGGCAAAUUCUUGAAUUGCUUAAUAAUUAUUUUUGUAUUAUUCAUGUUUGAAUUGUACUGACCGGUAUUACUCCGUAAUCCUGUACCGGCGACGGUAUAGGGUUAGAGGGUGUUACACAUUUGGCAUGGAUGAAUUGUGGAUUUGAUCAUGGAUGUUUGAUGAUGGAAAUGAAAGUAAAUGGAAUAAUAAAAACUAAGGCAUGAAUGUAUGAAAUGGAAGUAAAUUGAUGUUUCAUAUUGCAUGUGAUUUGGUAAGCUUGGUCUAAAUAAAAUAUGAACUCUUAAGCAAGUAUAAAUUGAUAAGAAGUUGAUAUGCAUGAGCCAUGUUUGUGAAUGUGUAAGUGCUCAUUUAUGUUGUGUAGGAUGACAUUCAGAUGUGUAUGUGUGCAUGUGUUAUUAAGGGUGACAAAAGGCUUGGAAAAUAGCCUCAAAGUUGUCCACAUGGGUAGGCACACGGGUGUGUGUCUAGACAAGUGCGACACACAGUCUGCCCCAUGACGUGUGAUCUAGCUGUGUGUCCCCUGCACCCUAAUUAGGUAAAACAGAAUGCCCAAUAGUAAACGCAUGAGUAGAGACACGGCCAUGUGUCUCAUCCGUGUGAAGGACACGGCCUCCGAACAUGGGCGUGUGCCUAGGCUGUGUGAAGUAUGCACCUGAUUUUUGGAAUUUAAUUUUCCACAUGGCCUAAGCACAUGAGCGUUACACGUGCUGAGGACACAGGCGUGUCCCAAGCCACACGGGCGUGUGUGACCACACGGCUUACCCACAAGGGUGUGUGACCUCCUAAAACAAGAAAAUUUUCUAAGUGUCACAAAAGUUCUAAAAGUUCUCGAUUUAGUCUUGAACCACACCCAAUGUACAUUUUGGGCCUCAUGGGCCUGUAUAAAGGACGAGAUGCAUGUUUAUGAAUGGUUUUACAUUGAGUGAAAUUUUAUGGCCCAGUUUUGUAUGAAUGUUUAUGUUUAUGUCUGAUAAUGCCUCAGACCCUAUCCCGGUGUCGGAUACGGGUAAGGGGUGUUACACUAAGUAACAAAAUUGAGCGUUGAAAUUGUAAUUCAAGAGAUAAGGUUGAUCAACCUUGUCUUCAUGCAAAUAAUACUCGAUGUGUCUCUCAUGUAAAUGGUGAGACUUUGGUUAAUAAUGACCAUGGGCAACAUUUUUAAGCAAAAUCAAAGUUCUCAAUUCAAGAAUUUCACGGAAAGAAUGAUCAAGAGACUUAUGUUCAUGGAAAAAGUGGUCAUAAAUUAGUUUGUUAAUUCAAGGGGAGAUGGCCAAACGAAAGGAGGAAUAUGAUUGAGCUGUCACCUGUUGUGCAAUGUUAUUGGUGUAGUUCAAAAGAUCAUAAGGGUUUCUAAUGUCCAAUUAAAUACCUAACUAGAGAAGAAAGUAAGUAUGACUUUGUAGCUUUUGUUGACUAAUACUCUAGUGGAAAAGAGAUUUGUGAUAGUGAACUUUGUGAAUCGGAAAAAGAUGAUAGUGAGAAUUUUUCCUUGAAUCUAUUGAGUUAGAUGAGAUAAAAACGUCAUGUUCUCCUACUGAGAUGUAUUGUAUUGAAUUGAAUAUUCAUAAUACUUGUGAGGGGGAUAUAGGAAGUGAGACAGAAUUAUGUGAAAAGACCUAGAGAAAAGAGACCUUAAGUGAUAAAAGUCUACUUGACGAACCAAAUUUGGAGAGUGAAAAUCCAUAUGAGGUAAAAUUGGAGAGUUCUCAAGUGGAAAAAGAAAAACAAAAGCAAGAAAAUAACCAUACAAAAGUAAAGAAUGAUUAUGUUUAUCUAACCCUAACUCAAAUUUGUUUAGUGGUGUUUUUUUAUUACAAGAUUUCAAGGAUCCAUUUACGGACUUCCAAUUAUAUUACUCUACCAUCAAGAGACAAUUUUACUUAUGGGAGAGAGGUAAGUUGAACAUUGAUAUUUCUCUGUAAGUGCUACAAGGUAAGAAAGGUAAGAAAACAUUAAAAAUUGAUUUAAGAAGGUAUAACUUGAAUGUUUUUUAUAAGUAUGCUACUGAUUUUGUUUGUAAAAUAUUUCCUUACAACAUGUUUCCUUGUUGGUCAAAUUUUAUUAAACCUUGGUCUAAAAGUUUAAUUAAUUUUAUGGGUUUAUCUAGGUAUGUCAAGCUUACUUUUGUUACAUUCAAUAAGUUUAUUAAAGAACUUUACGCAUUUGAUCUUGCAACAAAAUUUUCUACCUUAGACUUUAAAUAUGAAUUUUUAUAUAAUCUUCUAGAUUUUGAUAAUUAUGUGAAAUUAUUGACUAAUCUUUGGAAAUUCUUAUGGAUGACCAUGCAUAUUCAAAGAAAGUUACAAUUUAUUUUUUACUUGAACACUCAUGUGCCUUAACAUUUCUUUGUUUAGUAUUGAUACCUUGUUUUUAAAGGACACGUCAAUGAUCGAAGCUAAUUUUAAUUAUCAAAAUAAUGUGUUUAAUCCUAGAGAUAGUUUUGGCAUAAAAGAAAGCUUAGGUAAGUUUUUUUUAUUUUAUUGUACAGCUAAAGAUUCAGGGACGAAUCUUCUUGAGGAAGGGGGAAUGAUGCGAGUCUUCAGGCCCAAAAUCAGGCUCAUAAACGUGAUGGGCUCAAAUUUCCUCAAGGCCCAAUAAUGAAGUCGAAUGCCAAGCAAAUCCGAGCAAGAUUGAACGGGACCAUCCAAGACUUUGUUACCAAUGCCCUAGAUGUGCACACGACCAAAAAAGAAAAUCAAUAUUCACUUUCUUCUUUUCAUGAAAAUCAAGAAAUCGAAUCUUGGUCCAAUUUUGUUGUUUUGAACAAUUUCAAGAAUCAAGAAAAUCAAGAUUCCAAAUCUUUCAAAUCUUGGUCCAAGAAAUAGAAUCUUGUAGCCAAGGCACAUUGGAUUUCAUGUACGAGCUUGAACAAGCUAAUUUAAAGAGAAAACGAAUCACAAGAUCAAGUUCUUGAAAAAAUGAUCCAUUAAGAUGUUUACAAGUGCAUCCUAAAGUUUAGAAAGUAAUUUAAUUGAAUACCAAGCCAAAUUAUCAAAGUGGCCCAAAUUGUAAAAUAUUUAAAAUUUAGGCCCAAUUUUAUUUUAAUAGAUGGAUCAUCAUGUAAGAAUUCAACCCAAUGAGCCCAUUUAGUUCCCUUGGUCGAAUUCUUAUUAAAAGUCGACACUAAAGAUUAUUUUGUUUUUUUCUAUUCGAUGAGUUGUCAUGUUAGUUAUUCCAUUAGGGUUAGGAAAACUUAUUUUGGGGGCCUAUAUGUAGCAUGGACAUCCACCCUUAUACACGCACAAUUGAUUUUUUUUUAAGUUAAUAAUAAUUCUCUUUGAGUUUUUCAUCAAGAAUUGCUCUUGAGUUUCUUUUAGAAGUUGUUUUAACAAUCUUUUAGGUUGUGGGAAUCAUCUUCAAGCUUUUUCUUGCCAAGAUAUUUUGCUUCGAGGGGGAAUUAGAUCUAUAAGAAGGAUUUUUGGAUUCUUAAUCUUUCCAAGGCUUCUUAGGACAUCAUAUUCUCAUUUCUAUCCUUAAUUUAUCAUUUCUUGCUUAUUUAAGUUAGUUCUUACUAUUUUGGCUUGUUGAUUUUAUUGACUUUCAUUCUAGGUUAAAGUUGCUUCAAGAAAGAUGUUCACCCAUCUUGUUCCAUCAAGAAACACAUCAAAAUUAGGAGUUCUAAUCUUUUCUUGUUGUUUCAAAAUUCUUGUACAAAACAGUUUGCUUUUAUCUUGAAAAUCACUUCUAACAAAUCUGUUUUUGUUUUAUUUUUCCAGAUCUAGUUGAGCCGUUUGCUUGAGGUCCAGUGAUGGUUUCUUUCCAUCCAAGAAAACCUAAUUCGUUCUCUUUUGGAGUCUUUGCCAGCCGGUUCAUAUUUCUUUUGUUUUAAUUUCGUUUGACUCUCCUUUGUGACAACUAAUCUUUUUUUUUGUUUCUCAUUUCAGUUUACGUUUAUCUAGAGAUCUAGGUUAAAUCUGCAACUUAGGCGAGGUAUAAUCCUAUUCCACACAUGUCGUAUCAUUCUUUAUCAGAGAGUGUUAGCUUAAUGCUUCACUUACAGGACAUGUUUGACUCUAUCAGUCUAUGUGUUGGGUUAGAGAUCAGUGUAUUCGAUGAGUGGUGGUAGAGCCCACUUUUAUGUUUCUGAGCUCAAGUGCCAAAUUAUCUAUAAAUAUGUUUGUGUAUUGUAAUGUAUGCAUGAAUAUGUAUGUAUUGACUCUGUAAAUCAUCUAUCAUAUAUGCAUGUGAAGUAAAAUAUGUCAACUAAGUUAAGGCUUCUAUAAUUAUGCUACAUCUAUGUUUGACUAAUGUUUGAUGACAUGUUUGCAUAGUAGUUGUUCUAGGCAUUCAUUAAGCUUGUAAAACUCACCCACUCCCUUUUAAAACCUUUGCAGAUUAAUUGUGUGCCAAUGUGAGCAAUGUAGUUUUGAAGGGUGAUCCAAGCAAGUCUAUUUCUGUGUUUCUGUAGUUGUUGUUAUUACUUGUUUACGUUUUGAGGACAAGACAAUGUGGUAGACUUUACGCUAGUAUUUGAUAUAAUACUUAGGAUGUUUCCAUGGUUAAAUUGCUCUUAAGAUUUCGAGUUUUGAUUCGUAUUAUGCUUAUUAUUUCUCGGACUCAUUUACAAUGUUUUGGACAAUUAUUUCAGCAUUUUAUUGCUUGUUUGAUGAUGUGGAUAAAGCAUGUUUAUUAGACUUUCGUUGACAUGAUUUAUAUACUUAAAAUUUUUUAAUUUGCAAUCUGUAGCAAGGGUAUAGAUAUUCAGGUUUAAAUAUCGAUACCUCCAUGAUUUUUGAAAGUGCAGGAAGAUAGUAAUGAAAUUUGGUAUCGUACCCUAUCUGGAGUAUUGAUACUCAGGGCGAGGUAAUCGAUACUUUGGCAGAGUUACCGAUAAUUUUUGAGGUUUGGAUUUUUAUGUAAGAAACAGUAAGCAAUUUUUGUACUAAUUUUCCAAGCAGUAUCAAUACCACUAGAGAGAAUUAUCGAUACCUCAAUUUCAAUAUUGAUACCUACAAGCUCAGUUUAAAAUUUUACAAAAUGGAUAUUAAGUAUGUGUAACUAUGAUUAUAAGACUUUUAGAUGAAUAUUUAACAUGUGGUUAUGAUAGUUAAAUAGCAUGUUGACUAAAACCUAUACGAAUGAUAAUAAUCAUGCUUCUAUAAAAAUGAGCUUUUAAUUGUUGUGUAAGACAUGAGAUGGUGGUGUGGCAUCCUGAUAUUCAGGCUCGACUACUAGGCCAAGUAUAGGGUGUUAUAGUUUUAAACAUGUAGGUUUUGGAUUCAUCAAAAAAGUCUAAGGUUUUAGCUUGGGAGCGUAUCACCAUCCAUCUUAAAGUUUCAUAUCAUUUGUUUUGGAUGUCUUUGCUGUUAGAAUUUGACAUGUACAUAAAACACAUAGUUUGGGUAUUGUAUUUGUGAAAUUUAAGUUGUUAUUAAGUCAUUUUGAUAUUUUUAAUCAAGCUUUAUUCCAUUAUUUGGCAUGAAUGUGUUUAUGACUUGUAUUUUGAGCUUUAAAUAAGUUUAGAAAUUGAUUUAUAAUGGUUUGAAUCUCAAUGAUAUGUUAUUGUAGUGUAUGGAGAUGUUUUAUUGUGUUUUUAGACUAAUUUUCAGCUCCAGGGGUCUAACUAUAGAUAUUUUGCCUUAGAGGUAUCACAAUAAGUCAAAUAGAAUACAAGUUGCUAACAUUUCUAGGUAGUUGUUUCGCAACAUGGAAUAGAUGUAUCGGAAAGGUAUCAUAAUAAGUCAAACAGAAUACAAAUUGCUACAUUUCUAGGUGGUUGUUUUGCAACAUAGAAUAGUUGUAUUGGAACAAUUAUCCUUGCUCUUACGAACUUUAGUUUUUAGGCUUCGGAAUGACCCUGAAUGAUGCCCAAACAAUCUCAUAUCGUGAUGAGACCUUGGAAAUGGUAUAAAAUGACCUUUAAGAACUCAAAAAUGCUUUAAUGAAGUGUAAAAUUUAAGGGUGGACUUUGAAUUUGGUUUAACAUUUUCUUACUCAAGUUGAUUUGAAAAGUUGUAUUUUGAUCUAUUUAAAUGUAACCUUUGUAACAAGACAAAAAAAUUUUUAUAAGAUGUGGAGGACGGGUGUUGGGUUUGAGGGUAUAGGGGUGGUUGACAGUGGCUUGGGCAGUGGUUCAGAAGUGUGGUAGCUUGGAGCAAGGUGCGACGGCUGGCGGCUUAAUAGAAUUGGGGACGUGCGACUACUACUAGUUGGGGAGAAAAUGUGGCAAUGCUGCUUUGGUUGAAGAGAAGGUGCGGUGUUGGGUUGAAUUAAGGAUGUAGGUGCUACGGUGGAGCAACUAGCUAGGCUGGCCGAUGGUAUUAGGGAAUGGAAGUAAGAUGUGGUUGUAUUGGUGUUACGAGUUGUAUGCGUACUUGAUAGAUGUUUCUUUACUUUGGUAAUUAGACGUUCUGGGUCGUACUAAGAAUUAUUUUUAAUUAGAGUGUGCAGCAGAAGCAUAGUGGUUUGACUUGAGUAAUACGGUUAG
rnacentral:lncRNA from 1 species